rnacentral:misc_RNA from 1 species
ACUCCGUUGGUGAACCAGCGGAGGGAUCAUUACCGAGUUUACAACUCCCAAACCCAAUGUGAACCAUACCAAACUGUUGCCUCGGCGGGGUCACGCCCCGGGUGCGUCGCAGCCCCGGAACCAGGCGCCCGCCGGAGGGACCAACCAAACUCUUUCUGUAGUCCCCUCGCGGACGUUAUUUUUACAGCUCUGAGCAAAAAUUCAAAAUGAAUCAAAACUUUCAACAACGGAUCUCUUGGUUCUG